ensembl:processed_transcript Ptprv protein tyrosine phosphatase, receptor type, V
CGGAAAGGCAGGUUCAAUGCCUGCAGUUUCCACACUGCCAGACUGGGAGUGAGCUCCCAGCUAACACCCUACUGACCUUCCUUGAUGCUGUGGGCCAGUGCUGCUCCCGGGGCAAUAGCAAGAAGCCAGGGACCCUGCUCAGUCACUCCAGGUGCCAUCGACAAACGUCAUGUGUUAACUUGGGUUAUGGGUCAAAGGGUCUCCCAAGGCUCCGUCUCUUCUGCUCCAUUUGCAGGGAUUUGGUAGGGCUCUCUCUAGCCUGGCUGGCCAAUCAAGUGCCUAGCAUUAUUUCCUAGUCCUUAGAACUAAUCUUGGUUUCCCCAUGUGCCUGGACACUACCCCAUCUCCAGAGGUCCCACAUCUAACUCUAGGUCACUUACAGCAAGGUCACAUACCAGCUGGGCACCUUCUUGGCUAUGGAACAGCUGCUACAGCAAGCAGGGACCGAGCGCACAGUGGAUGUCUUCAGUGUGGCCCUGAAGCAGACACAGGCCUGUGGCCUUAAGACCCCAACGCUGGAGCAGUAUAUCUACCUCUACAACUGUCUGAACAGCGCAUUGAGGAACAGGCUGCCCCGAGCUAGGAAGUGACCUGUGCCCUGCUAGGCAUCACGUUCCAGCAAAUCCACCCAGGCCUGGCUUCCCCAGGAGAACAGAUCUAUCGGCCUCACGCUGUCAAAGGGCAGAGUCUGGGAAUAAAGAGACAUGGUCAAACUCA